rnacentral:rRNA from 1 species
UACGUAGGGUGCGAGCGUUGUCCGGAAUUAUUGGGCGUAAAGCGCGCGUAGGCGGCUACUUAAGUCGGAUGUGAAAGCCCUUGGCUCAACUGAGGAAGUGCACCCGAAACUGAGUGGCUUGAGUACUAAAGAGGGUCGCGGAAUUCCCGGUGUAGAGGUGAAAUUCGUAGAUAUCGGGAGGAACACCGGUGGCGAAGGCGGCGACCUGGGUAGAUACUGACGCUGAGGUGCGAAAGCGUGGGGAGCAAACAGGG